UUCUUUCACAACUCUAUUGUGGUUUUCAGAGUACAGAUCUUUGACUUCUGUGGUCAGGUUUAUUCCUAAGUAUCUUAUGGUUUUUGGUGCAAUUGCAAAUGG